AUUGAACGCUGGCGGCGUGCCUAACACAUGCAAGUCGAGCGGUAACAGGUGUAGCAAUACAUGCUGACGAGCGGCGGACGGGUGAGUAACGCUUGGGAAUCUGCCUAUUAGUGGGGGACAACCCGGGGAAACUCGGGCUAAUACCGCAUACGCACUACGGUGGAAAGCCGGGGACCGCAAGGCCUGGCGCUAACAGAUGAGCCCAAGUCGGAUUAGCUAGUUGGUAGGGUAACGGCCACCAAGGCGACGAUCCGUAACUGGUCUGAGAGGACGACCAGUCACACCGGAACUGAGACACGGUCCGGACUCCUACGGGAGGCAGCAGUGGAGA
rnacentral:rRNA from 1 species